rnacentral:rRNA from 1 species
AGUGAACGCUGGCGGUAGGCCUAACACAUGCGAGUCGAACGGCAGCACAGUAAGAGCUUGCUCUUACGGGUGGCGAGUGGCGGACGGGUGAGGAAUACAUCGGAAUCUACUUUUUCGUGGGGGAUAACGUAGGGAAACUUACGCUAAUACCGCAUACGACCUACGGGUGAAAGCAGGGGAUCUUCGGACCUUGCGCGAUUGAAUGAGCCGAUGUCGGAUUAGCUAGUUGGCGGGGUAAAGGCCCACCAAGGCGACGAUCCGUAGCUGGUCUGAGAGGAUGACCAGCAACAGUGGAACUGAGACACGGUCCAGACUCCACCGGGAGGCAGCAGUGGGGAAUAUUGGACAAUGGGCGCAAGCCUGGUCCAGCCAUACCGCGUGGGUGAAGAAGGCCUUCGGGUUGUAAAGCCCUUUUGUUGGGAAAGAAAAGCAGCAGGUUAAUACCCCGCUGUUCUGACGGUACCCAAAGAAUAAGCACCGGCUAACUUCGUG